rnacentral:rRNA from 1 species
GACGGAGGGUGCAAGCGUUGUCCGGAAUCACUGGGCGUAAAGGGCGCGUAGGCGGCUCAUGAAGGCUGUGGUGAAAGUCCGGGGCUCAACCUCGGAUCGGCCGUGGCAACUCGUGGGCUGGAGCACUGUAGAGGCGGGUGGAAUUCCGGGUGUAGCGGUGGAAUGCGUAGAGAUCCGGAAGAACACCAGUGGCGAAGGCGGCCCGCUGGGCAGUGGCUGACGCUGAGGCGCGACAGCGUGGGGAGCAAACAGG